rnacentral:rRNA from 1 species
CAGCCGCCACGGGAAUACGGAGGGUGCAAGCGUUGUCCGGAUUUAUUGGGUUUAAAGGGUGCGUAGGCGGCCUAAUAAGUCAGUGGUGAAAGCCUCCAGCUUAACUGGAGAACUGCCAUUGAUACUGUUAGGCUUGAGUAUACUUGAGGUAGGCGGAAUCGACAGUGUAGCGGUGAAAUGCAUAGAUAUUGUCAAGAACACCAAUUGCGAAGGCAGCUUACUAAAUUAUAACUGACGCUGAGGCACGAAAGUGUGGGUAUCAAACAGGAUUAGAUACCCCGGUAGUCCCUGUCUCUUAUAC